AAAAGAAUGCUUAUUGCACCACAUGUGUUUUUCUUUGAAACAAACUUGCUUUGGCGGUGGGCCCAGCCUGCCGCCAGAGGUCUAAACUUACAACCAAUUUUUUAUCAACUUGUCACACCAGAUUAUUACUUAAUAGUCAAAACUUUCAACAACGGAUCUCUUGGUUCUCGCAUCGAUGAAGAACGCAGCGAAAUGCGAUACGUAAUAUGAAUUGCAGAUAUUCGUGAAUCAUCGAAUCUUUGAACGCACAUUGCGCCCUCUGGUAUUCCGGAGGGCAUGCCUGUUUGAGCGUCGUUUCUCCCUCAAACCGCUGGGUUUGGUGUUGAGCAAUACGACUUGGGUUUGCUUGAAAGACGGUAGUGGUAAGGCGGGAUCGCUUUGACAAUGGCUUAGGUCUAACCAAAAACAUUGCUUGCGGCGGUAACGUCUACCACGUAUAUCUUCAAACUUUGACCUCAAAUCAGGUAGGACUACCCGCUGAACUUAAGCAUAUCAAAAGUCGGAGGAA
rnacentral:rRNA from 1 species